rnacentral:rRNA from 1 species
UGGGGAAUAUUGGGCAAUGGGCGAAAGCCUGACCCAGCAACGCCGCGUGAGGGAAGAAGGUCUUCGGAUUGUAAACCUCUGUCCUUGGGGACGAAAAAAAUGACGGUGCCCAAGGAGGAAGCCCCGGCUCACUACGUGCCAGCAGCCGCGGUAAUACGUAGGGGGCGAGCGUUGUCCGGAAUUACUGGGCGUAAAGGGUGCGUAGGCGGUUUUUUAAGUCGGAUGUGAAAUCCCCGGGCUCAACUCGGGUGGUGCAUUUGAAACUGGGAGGCUAGAGUGCAGGAGAGGGAAUCGGAAUUCCUAGUGUAGCGGUGAAAUGCGUAGAUAUUAGGAGGAACACCAGUGGCGAAGGCGGCUUUCUGGACUGUAACUGACGCUGAGGCACGAAAGCGUGGGGAGCAAACA